GGGGGUUUCUGUCUGUGUUUUGUUUGGGGUUUGGCUCUGAUCCUUUUAUGUAUUUUUUUCCUUUUUUAAGCUGAAAAAAAGCUCUCAUUCCUGCCCGCUUCGUGCCCGCAGUUUGCCCGUGCCGUACAAUUCGGGGUGCGUGGAGCGAAAAAUGAACAUCAGAGAGGGAUUCCCUUUUAGAACCGCGGUAUGAGUUGGAAACAGGAGUUGGGGGGGAUGGGGGUGGGAUAAUAAUGACACCCAUAAACAAUAGCUUCACGUUAUUAGUUUGUAGUUAGCAUGAAGACCGGUCCAUAAAAAGCCGAGCGAACAGAUCGCUGACACUUUAAUUAAAAGUUUUGCCCAAAACGACGUCCCAGCCAUAAAAUAGGGCAGAUUACAAACCUGAAGGAAAUCCAUCUCGGCGGGCAGAGCUCUGCCCCUGUAUUCGUCGGCCAAACGGUGCUUUUGGGGAGGAAAACACCGCUCAUUUCGGGGUUACGGACCGACGGAUACGUGUGUCUAUCUCUGCCUCCGCACACAGACAUACAGGGAGAGCCCCGACCUCUCCUAAAAGCGCUUUGAUGAGAACGGCUCUCCCCCCUCAGAAAACAGAAAGCCGGGGAGGGUGGGAGCCACAGAUGAAUGAAAAGAGAUGGGAAGGAGCGCGGUGCUGCGCUGGGCGGGUGAGGAGAACUCAACCUGGAGGAGAGACACAAUUUAGCAAGUGGAGCCGCCAUGUUUCCCUGCCACAUUUCCCAAUAAAUGGGUAGAAAUGCGACCACACCGCCCGAGCACCGCGGUGCUGCGAGCCCCGGUGGAAUCCCCACCGCAUUUCUGCUCAGGAGCCCUAAAACGCUCCGCUCCUCUGCGAGAUACGCACCGGCUGCUCCUCUCCGUGAAAACCACCUUUACUUAUUCCUUUUUUCCCCCUCCUGCAGAAUGGUUGGAUAUCGGGGCAUUUAUCGGAGCCCGCAGGAUGUCUUCCUCCUCCCCUCCCCUCCCCAAACCCACCCCAAUUUCUCUCCCUCUCUCCCACUCGGCCAAAGCGGAGCGGCGAACACCAGCGCGGGGGCUUUGCCAUUGAAACACAACGACAACCAGGAGACAAUUGUUGACAAAAGUCGCGACAUCGCCGCAGCAAUCGGUGAUCGCUGUUUGUUUCGUGUGGAAACGCAGAAGGACGGAGGGAGAGGCGGCUCUCGGGGCACGGAGGGAAGACAAACGACUUUAAUAAGAAGAUCUUUUUUAAUUCGGCUGGAGGAAUAAACGAGGAGAGCAGUGCUGAAAGCGCACGCAUUGAUUGACGAUAAACAAUUGCAUUAAAUAUUCAAUGCGCCACUCGGACGGAAUAAAUAUUUAACCAAACGUUCAAGGAGGUUUUCGAGUAUUUACCAGACACCGACCUCGUCCAUUUGUCCUGCCCCUUCAUCUACGACUAAUUCGAUAUCAGAAGUCAUUAAGGCCGGCCUGCUUUCCUCUCAAACUUUGCAACUUCGCACACGGCCACCGCUUAAAUGGUGUCGUCGCUCCCGGCCGUGCCAACGGGCGUGAUGUAUAGUUGGUGUGCACAUAGAGAUCAACAUAAUUAGCGUAUGUUAGAAGCUUGUUAAUUAGCACCAACCCCCCCGCAGCACAUCCCCCCCCCCCCCCCUCCCCUCGCGCUCCCAGAGAGAUGGAGGUUUCCCCGUCGUUUCGCAGCGCAGCUGUACGGAGCGCUCACCCCUGCAGCAAACGGGGCCAAAUGUUCCCAAACUUACUUACGUUUUCCCCGUGAUUAUAUUGAUUUACCUAAAGUCUGUUCGGGAACACUUCUAAGAGCGGGCUAGGAUAGAAAUAAUCAUCAUAAUAAAUUACAGUAAUCACCGUAAUUAAAAUAUUACAAAGGGCGAGGGAGAAAAAAAAAAAAAACCCCACACAACCCAACCCGGUCCGAGCUCCUUAAGACCCUCCCUCUCCC
ensembl:lncRNA